UAUCCUGAUAUAUUUAAUCACAUUCCAACUGAAGCAUUUUAAGGAGAAUGAAUUUAGAAAAGAGUUUUAAGCUUUUUUGAGUUCAUAUUCAAAGCCAUCCAAAUGCCUGAAUUGAAUCAUGCAAAUUGGGCUCUCCAGUUUCUAUCUCCUAGUACGAACACACAGUUAAAUAAUUCAUUAUAUGUGAAAAUACCUUGACUUUUAUCAAGCAAGCCUGGUUGCAGCAUCAUUGUAAGUUGGGUAUGAUAGAAAUGACAUUACUUAGGUUAUACAUGUCUACAUCUCAACCAGCAGAGCAUGAAGAAGAUAUGUGGGGAAAAGGGAAGAAAGUACAGAAUAUGGUUUCAGAAUCUAGUACUGGGCUUGCACAGAUCCUCAUGUCCACUCUCCUGUGAGAUAGUGAGAUGGUGGCCUACUGUAAUGGCCAUUGGCUCAGAGUAACCUAUAGCAACAGGUAUGCCUCAGCCCUCAGCAGUCUUGAUUUUGUUCCCUCUAAUUGCCACAUACAGCCACGGUAGUUCUGGGUUUAGAGUACUUCUGCAGCUCCAGUGAUCGUGAGCUUAAGGACUUUAACAGAAUACCUGAGGAUCUUACUAUGGAAUGCCAUUUUCCAAAGUCAGCUUACAGAGGUUGGACUCAGCACAGCUUCAGUGAGCAGGCAGUAGAUUUUAACUAUCAGGACCAAAACAAUUAGAAAAAUAGAAAAUCAAGAUACAAGUCAAGAUAAUCCUGAAGAAAGGAGAAAUUUUAACUGUCAGUGGCAAAGAAUACACAGCACACCUUUUGAAAAUCUAAACCUCAAGGAAGUAAUUUUGAAAUUAGAGCAAUUUAGUAGAUUGAAGUUUUUUGUUUUUUUUUUAAUCUUAGGAGUUUAUAUAUGCUGUGAGUGAAGUGUGAAGUGGUGGUAUAGAGCAGUAACAACAAAAUUGUGAAAACUUUUAUUAACUAAUAACACAGCAACAAAAAAGCCCCUAACAUUUGAAGAUGAAAAAAUCAAGAGCCAGUGAACGGACUCAAGUGUCAAGCAUUUGCUGCUGGGACUGAUGACCUAAGCCAUACACACGGUACACCCUACAACUGUCGUUGUAGGGGUUUGUUUUAUCAACUUGACACAAACUAGAGUCAACUGGAAAGAGGGACCUCAGUUAAUGAAAAUGUCUCCACCUGAUUGACCUAAGGCAAGUCUGGAAUCUUAGUGAUUUGUGAUCCAUGUGGGAGAACCCAGCCCAUUGCAGGUGGUGACACCUCUGCAGGUGGAGCCAUGAGGCACAGGGAAGGGUCCUGGAUUUGAACUUGGAAAGGAGGCUUGUGGUACAGUUCUCUUCUAGGUUUCUGCCCUGACUUCCCUCCUUGGCUGUGAUUGUGAUGGAUGAGCCAAAUCUUUUCCUCUCCAAGUUGGUUUUGGUUAGUGUUUUAUGACACCAACAGAAAAGCUAAGACAACUUGAAGUUUUCCAUUUGCCUCUAAUGGUGCCCACACAUAAACAAAUAAUUAAAUAUAAAUGAAAAAUGUACAAUCAGAAGAAAAUGAAAACAGGAUUUGGUAUACAACAGAAAGGGAAUGUACAGAGCUGUUGAGUUGGGCAUAGAAAAAAUGGGUUAGGAAUUUUAUUUGAAGAGGCAAUAGCAAAAAAACAACAAAAACCCAAAAAACCACUUUCCAACCUGUAGAAAGAUAUAAAAGGUAUUUUACAGAGUUGCCUGCUUAUACAGUGAAAUGAAGGUGAAAGACUUUUGUCUUUUUUAAGAGAAAAGCAGUUCACGUGAAUAUUUUUUAUAUUCUGCAGAUAGCAGAAUCUAGGCAGACUAAGAAAAUAGUAUUCAAAGUGCUAAGUAAAACAGUGCCUGCCAAGAACAUUGCAUUCGACAAAGCUGACCUUCAGAAAUAAAGCAGCCUCAGACAAAAGCCAUGAGAAGGCAGCACCUUCAGACUUGUUGAAAAAAGUGCAAAAAGGAGUUGUUCAAACAAAAAGGAACUUGCUAAGAGUAUAUGGCAAAGUCUGAUAAAAUUAAGUUUAGAGCACUAUGAUGGUUGUAUUUAAAUCCAUACUUUUAGGACAGAGCAGUGGGUUUCACCUUUGUAAUACUUUAAGCCUCAUGACCCCAAUGAUAAAAUUAUUUUUGUUGCUACUUUAUAACUAAUUUUACUACUGUUAUGAAUUGUAAAUGUGUUUUCUGAUAGUCUUAGGUCGCCCUGUGAAAGGGUCAUUGAUCCCCAAAGGUAUUGUGAUUCACAGUUUGAGCUCUACUAUUGUAGAUGUUAUUGUAGGAAAAUAAUUACAAUAACUCUAAGGGGAUUGUGACAACUACAGAUUGGGUGUAAGAAACAGGAUGAUUUUUUUCUUAUCAAAGUUGUCAUCUUAGUUCCUGCCUUGACUUUCCUUAGUGAUGGGUUGUAAUCCUUACCUUCUCAGGUUGCUCUUUUUCAUGAAUUUUAUCACCGCAGUAGAAACCAAACUGCUAAGUAUACAGCAAGCCAAAUUAAAGACUAAAAAGUGGGCGUGGUUCCGUCCUGUGUGUCUGUCUGUGGAACCCCAGGUAGUUGUUUUCCUUCGGGUUUCUCCCACAUCGAAGUGCGCACCUCCACCUCAUGGAAGACUUGAUGGUCGUGCACAUGAGCUCUCUUAGUACUAUUUUGGUUGUGAACGAAAGGCUGACAAAGACUAUCACUUUAAAGUGGAUGAUGAUGAAAAUGAGCACCAGUUAAUCAUUAAGAACGGUCAGUUUAGGGGCAGGCACAGAAGAUGAAUUACACAUUGUAGAGCCAGGAGCAAUGAAUUUUGAAGUCAGUCCAGUUAAAAUAACACUGGCAACUUUGAAAAUGUCUGUACAACCAACAGUUUCCCUUGGGCGCUUCGAAAUUACACCACCUGUGGUUUUAAGGUUGAAGUGUGGUUCAGGGUGCACAUUAGUAUACAGCACCUAGUAGCUGUAGAGGAAGAUGCAGAGUCAAGAUGAAGGUGAGGAGGGUAUAAAACUCAGUCUGGAAAGUGGUCUGCUCCUGAAGGUGGUAACAAGGUUCCACAGAAAAAAGUAAAACUUGAUGAUGAGGAGGAGGUGGAGGAGGAGGAAGGAGAAGAAGAUUUUGAUGAAGAGGUACCUGAAGAAAAGGUUCCUGUGAAGAAGAUAAAUGCAGCCCAAAAUGCAGAAAAAUCAAACCAAAAUGGAAAAGACUUAAAACCAUCAACACCAAGAUCAAAGGGUCAAGAGUGCUUCAAAAAACAGGAAAAAACUAAAACACCAAAGUGCAAGCAAAUAUAGAGAAAGGUAGUUCUCUUCCCAAAGUAGAAGCCAAGUUCAUUAUUAUGUGAAGAAUUGUUUCCAGAUGAAUAACCAGGAGGCUAUUCAAGAUAUCUGGCAGUAGAGGAAGUCUCUUUAAGAAAAUGGUUUAAGGGGGCUGGUGAGAUGGCUCAGUGGGUAAGAGCACUGAUUGCUCUUCCAAAGGUCAUGAGUUCACAUCCCAGCAACCACAUGGUGGCUCACAACCACCCACAAUGAGAUCUGACACCUCCUUCUGGUGCGUCUGAAGACAGCUACAGUGUACUUAUAAUAAAUAAAUAAUAAAACAAAAAACAAUUUAAAAAAGAAAACGGUUUAAAUAGUUUGAAAUAUUCUGUCUUCAUUUCUGUAAUAGUUGAUAUCUGGCUGUCCUUUUUAUAAUGCAAAAUGAGAACUUUCCCUACUGUGUUUGAUAAGUGUUGUCAAGGUUCAAUUGCCAAGAAUGCAUUGUCUAAAAUGCCCGUUUAGUUUUCAAGGAUGGGACUUCACCUUUGUCUUAGUCAGGGUUUCUAUUCCUGCACAAACAUCAUGACCAAGAAGCAAGUUGGGGAGGAAAGGGUUUAUUCACCUUACUUCC